rnacentral:rRNA from 1 species
GACGAACGCUGGCGGCGUGCCUAAUACAUGCAAGUUGAACGGUGAAGGCUUGUACUUGUAGCAACUGGAUGAGCCGAGAACGGGUGUGUCACGCGUGUAACAUCUGCCUUUCAGCGGGGGACCACCUUUGGAAACGGGUGCUAAUACGGCAUAAGCACUUUAAGCAUAAGUGUGGAGGUUGAAAGUUGCAGGUGCGUGAGUUAGGGAUGGUCUCGCGGUUUAUUAGCUUGUUGGUGGGGUAGAGGCUUACAAACGCGGUGACGGGUAGCCGGCCUGAGAGGGUGACCGGCCACAUUGUGACUGAGAUACGAGCCAGACUCCUACGGGAGGCAGCAGUGAGGAAUAUAGCGCAAUAGGCGGAAGGCUGAUGCAGCAACGCCGCGUGCGAGAUGACGGCCUUCGGGGUGUAAACCGCUUGCGCCUGUGACGAAGCGUGAGUGACGGUAAUUGGUAAAGAAGCACCGGCUAACUACGUG